rnacentral:lncRNA from 1 species
CCCACUCCGAAGCCCGCGGCGGCCCCCACCUGUUCACCCUGCUGUGCAGCGCUGUCACAGUCUUCCUGUUGGCUCUGCUGCUGCUGGGAGUCCUUCGCAUCAGGAAACACGCAGGUACACAAAACCCCUUUAAAGAAGGAACUGUGCAAACCAAGAACAAGAAGCUCUGAACUCCAAGAGUAAUCAGAUUACCAGAACUGCUGCCAACAAGCUCCACCAUCACGCUUGAGGUUAUAAAUGUUUAAGUUAGACUUAUAACUGUUGCUUUUAUAUUGUUUUACUUCACUGUUUACACACUUCAGACCGGUGACAAACUUUAAAUGUCUUUUCUCUUCCUGUGUGUCUGUUGUUCAAUAUUUGUACUUUUCUAUCCGACAGUUUCCUCGAAGUCAGCAGCUGCAGCGUCAAGCUCAGACGAGGACGCUCAGAACGGUGAGCAGUGCAUCCUUCACCACCGGAUUACAGAUUCAUACACGUCACUAUUUUAACUUAUGACCAAAGGAUUAGGACUGAAUGUUCUCGUUAACGUGCUUCAUGUGUCGGUCUGUGCAGAGGACGGUGACCUGGACACAGUGACGUACGCCAUCAUCACUAAACCCAGACAGAACGAAGGAUGCGGAUCAUCCUCGGUGAGUCGCAGCGCAGAGAUAGACUGCAGGUCCACAGAGCAGGAGGUUGUGUACGCCUUGGUGCAGAAGGUAACACCUCCCACACCACAGCUGUGCUCCGACAGCUGGAGCCCAGAACACAGACUGAACGUUAGCCGCUGUGCAUGAACUUAAAGAUUUCUCUGCAUGUUUAACCUUAAAAACACACAAGUGUGGAGAAAUAUUCUGGGAAAAGCUUCAGUUUAUUGGAGCUUCAGGUGUUUUACAGACACUUUGUCUCUUUUGUUUCACAGGCUACACAGAGACACCUGGCUGCACCAGACUCUGUGCUAAUAUGAGAAGAAGAAACAGAUAGAUACUGUUUAUGCAGCUUUCAGUUGAACUUAGUUGUGUAUUUUUAAAGCCACCCAUUUCAUCUUAUAAUAGAAUUUCACUUUCACUGACAAUGUCAUGAAGCACAAACAUGUUUUCAUUUUUUCCUGCAGCUACAUCAAACCUUUUAUAUUUCAAGAUGUUGCAUUUUUAUUUGCUGUUUGCUCUGUAACAAAACUAAUGUACCAUAUGUUACAUUCAUAAAUGAAGCAGGCAGGUGAGGUGGAAUCAUUUGUGAGCUGAAUUAAAGUUAUUUGCUUUUUUUUUCAUUCCUGUGAAAAGUUUGCAUUGCUAAAAUGUGUUUCUAUACAGUGGACCAUAAAACACCAUAACAUGCACCUCCUGCACAUCCUGUACGU